rnacentral:rRNA from 1 species
GACGAACCGUGCGAACGUUAUUCGGAAUCAUUGGGCUUAAAGGGCGCGUAGGCGGGCGACCGCGUCGAGCGCUGAAAGACCCCGGCUCAACCGGGGAACGGGCCUCGAUACGGGUCGCCUCGAGGCGAGGAGGGGGACCUGGAACUCCCGGUGGAGCGGUGAAAUGCGUAGAUAUCGAGAGGAACACCUGCGGCGAAGGCGGGUUGCUGGGCUGACACUGACGCUGAUGCGCGAAAGCUAGGGGAGCGAACGGG